UUGAUACAUACCCAUAUCUUAUGAAUAUUCAUACGUAUAAAUUGUUUUGCCCUGUAGUUGUAAGCUCAGAAACACUUUCACUUUUACUCGCUUAUAGUAGCCGAGAUCUGUGUUGUCUUUCUCCAUUGCAAUGUCUUAAUUAAAGCACCUACUUAUUAUCUUUAUCUACCAUCUAAUCUGAUCGUCUUAAUUAAGACCCCCAAAUCGGAUUUAACAGCUGGUGCCGUGACUCGGAUUCAGUUCCGUUGGACUUCCGACCAAAGAGACGGGAAACCCAUGUUGGGCAGAACCAGUGGCCACGGUAAGAAAACCUUUUAUUCUUACUCUUUCUGCCCACCACGGCAAGUACCAGUCGGUGUCUGAAGUCUAUUGGCUGACGUCUGAUGUGUUUGUUUUUCUUUGAUGAGAUGGUGAGAUAAAAUUGAUGCAAACCAGAGUAAUGUAAAUGCUACACAGUUUGACCCAAACAACUCCUCUACUUCACUUGUUGCAGAAAUAAUAGAGUAUAGUAAUCAUUGUUGGUGGAUUGCUAAUGUUUUGUUUAUAUGCUUGGGGUGUCAAUAGUUUUAUGAGACUUGUGAAAAGGUCUGACCAGAGGACUGUAGUAGUGAGCCUGUGUGGCGAGUAAGGCCUGUGUGGCCAAGUGUAAAAGAAGUGCCAUUUGAUGGCUACUGUGUGUAGCCCAGGAGAAAUUUUGGGUGACGACCCAUACAUUUUUAAGUAGAGACUCGAGAGUGAGUUCUCUAGAUUGGGAGUACGGUGCUCCCAUGGACCUUUCAAACUGGGAAAGGUAGAAGUGGCACAAGUAAGUCCUACGACUGACAUGACAGACCGAUGUGGACAGUGGUUAAGAUAACACCAAGACUAUUAUAGGCUGGACCAAAACAGAGCUGAUCUAGUACCUGCAGGAGUUAUGAUCAAAUUGGGUUUCUGUGUAUGUUAAUUUUUAUGACAGAGUUGAAUAAGGUAAUUAAAAAUGUACAAUGUGUUUUUGAAAGUAUGCAAUGUGAUGAAACUAACUAAUUAUGAGCCUGUCAAAGUUAGAGAAUUAGACCAGGCAAUGCCAUUGUUGUUAUAUAAAUAUUUAAGAAAUGUUUGAGAAGCAGAAAAUCAAUGCUACUUUUGGAUGAUUGUAAGAUAAUGAUGAGACAAGCCUGCUGAUUUUUGCAGUUUCCUCCCCCCUCCUUUGUGCUUGGGUUAGUGUGUGAAGAAAAGAGUGAGAUGCUCCCCCCUUCAAAUACCUGGAGUAAAGGAGCCAGAUAGUUCUGAAUAUCUAAGAAAUGUUUAAUUAUGUGGCAAUGUGGAAUCCUAGUUAAAAUUGUUAGUUUUUGUUAUGUAACUCUUGGGUUCAUUUUAAACAAAGAAAGAAAUGGUAGCCAUGAUUAUUAUAAAUAUUUAAAUGUUUAGCUCUCCAUUCUAAGCUAGUAAACAUGAAAGUGGAGAAAGGCAAGUUUAUCUAUAAGAGGAAAAGGUUUAAAGUGAAUUGCAUUAUGAAGAAAGUGGACAGAAUGUUGUAAAAUUAUUAAUGAGGAUUGCUGGAUGUGAGAAAAGAGAAAAGGCUGAAUGCUUUUGUAGCCCAAUAUGAUGGUCAAGGAGCUGUUUCUCAAAAAGAAACCAGGAAAUGCUAGAAUUGUGGCAGGAUUGGCUAGAAAAUGCAGAUUGCCUGACAGACGCAAGUAGAAGAAAGAGAGAGAUGAUGAAUGAAUGGUAAAGCAGUAUGAACUUUCUGAGCACACAGAAGUUAAUUUGUGCAUGUCUGAGACGGAUGGUAAAGAAUGUUUGUAACAUUACGCUUUCCACUUCAACUAACGUUAUGAUGGAAUAACAGAAUUGCAGUUGAGGAAUCAAAGCUACGAUAGCCUUUGUUUGGAUGGUGAUUUUAUGGUUGCAUUCAUUUCUGAUCCUGCUGAGAUAAAUUACAUUAUUAGGUUUAGUGGGAAGGAUGAGGAGCAAGCGUUUAUGCUCAUCUGAAAGACCAGCAACAUGAAGAAAAAGAUGGUGACGAAGGCAAAGAUGGGACUGGUGCCAGUACUUUAACAUUAAGUUCAACUGAGAGGUGUCCAAUUUGUCUGAACAGUCUUUCCCUGAAGGUUGGCUUUCCAGAAGAUUGUUGUCACGUUUUCUGUAUCCUGCAUUCUUAAAUGGUGUGAAAUCUCUUCAUCCUGCCCUGUUGACUGCAACCCUUUUCAAGCCAUGUAUAAAAUAGAUUUGGCUGGUGGAUGCACCAAGAUCCAUGCUGUGGGAAGAACACAAAAAGAAAACUGCAGCUGCAACCUGUGACAGUGGUGCUGUACAAUAGAGAAGACAUGCUUUGAAAUGGAUGUUAUGAAGCAAUACCGCUUGAAUUAGGAGAAAUGGAAGUGAAAAGAUGUACUACAAUCAAGCUUGCCAGCUUUUUCCUAGAGAGAGAAGAAGACCUCAAAGAGGAGGGUGACCAGAUCUGCUUAAAACUUAUGGAAGAAGAAAUGCAGCAAAUUUCCCCAAUAAAGGACACUACUCUUAAAAAUCCUGAUCUAUCAAAUCCUGUUUGUGGACGGUACAUGCCUGUACAAAGAUGGAGUCCCAAGAAUGGAAUAUGCGGUGACAACAUUGGAGGAAGUGAUUGAGAUCCAACUACUCCCUUCAUCACUUUCAGAGCAGGUUGCCAAAGUGGUAGCACUCACAAGAGCCAGUGAGACUGCAAAGGAUCAAACAGCCAACAUCUACACUGAUAGCAAGCAUGCUGUCAAAGUAAUCCAUGAUUAUGGACCCAUAAGGAAGAACAGAAGACUCACAACUGCUGCAAGAGAACCAAUUCAAAACUGAAAAUAUGUUCAAGAACUUUUUGAACCAGUCACCCUCCCAAAGGAAGUAGCCACCCCGAAGGUCAACGCACAUACUGAAGGACAACCCAUGGAAGAAAAAGGAAACAGUUGUCUGAUCAUACUGCCAGGAAGACUGCUGAAACACCCAUGGAAGCAAUCAUGACCCUAAUCAAUGAUUUUGCAAAGGAAUAAGAAGAAGCCCGUAACAGAUUGAAGGAAAAGAAAAUAACAAAUACUGAAAGUAAAGGAACUGAUUAAAAAAGGGCAAGAAUCUACACCUGACGAUUGGAACAAAGAAGGAUCAAGAUGGACUUGUGCAAGGAAAAGGGAAUAUGUGUCCCGUCUCAAACGGAGAAGAUGAUUAUGCCACUAGCUCAUGGACUGAGUCAUGUAUGCCCUAAGCAAUGGAGAGAGACAUAAGCAAGGCUGGAUGGUUUAUUUGUUACUCCAGAAAUGUAUAUCAAGACUUUGUUGAGGGAUGCACGAUCUGUGCUAAAAAUAACCCAGGAAAACCGACCAGAGUAACACAAAGACAUUUGGCCAAGUCACUAUUCCUUUUCCAAAAACUUCAGAUUGAUUAAAUCCUAUUGCCCAAAUCAGGCCAAUAUCAAUAUGUUUUGUUGUGAGUAGAAAAUGUUUUCAAACUGGAUAGAAGCCUGGCCAGUGGCUAAAGCAAAUGCCAAGACAACAGCAAGGAAACUCCUUUCCGAAGUAAUAUGCCGCUUGAAGUCCCUGAAAUCCUAGAGAAUGACAGAGGAACACAUUUCACUGGACAGAUCAUGCAAAUUACAUGCAGGGACUUGGCAAUUGAGCAGGCCUUUCAUGCCUCUAUAAUCCUCAGAGUUCAGGAAAGGUAGAAAAAUAUAGGAAUCAUUAAGGACAAGUUAGCCAAAUUAAUGCAGGGAAAGGAAAGACAGGUCAGUAAGGAAACAAUGACCAGAACUGUUGCCUCUGGUUCUUUACAACAUCAGGAUUACCCCUACUUAUAGGUCAGAAAAUGUUAGCCCUUAUGAGAUUUUAUUUGGGGGCCCACCUAAGACAGGGUUGUAUUUUCCACACCAGACUGCUGUAAUGUAUAAUGAUUUUGUUUUGUUAUGUAAUUGUCUAAUACAAGCAACUAACUGCGAUGCACAAGUUGUUUUUGAUUCAAUUCUAGAUCAAGAAAUUGGAACACAUGAUUUACAGCCAGAUGAUUGGGUCCUAAUAAAAGAAUAUGUGAAAGUACCUUUGAGACCAAAGUCUGAAGGACCCUAACAAGUGUUCCUGACAACUGCUACAGCUGUAAAGUGAUGUGCAUACAUGCCAGCCAUUGCAAGAAAGUACAGCUAAUUUCAAAAGAUGAGUAAACUACUGUUAUGCCUUUGCUUGAUCUUAGUCAAGGCUAUAGAGGAAAAUCACCAGUACAAAUUACACAUGCUGACAGGCAUAAGGAGCCAUUUGAGUAAUUGCUAGAUAUGUUCACAUAGGCCAGACAGUUAAAAAAAAAAAAAAAAAAGGGGCACACACCUAGUACUCGUUUAUUUUAAUUUUGAGUUUAAGCAAUACAAGGCUGCCCAAACUAGUAUGUCAAGAAUAUCACAAAUGUUGUAUUAUUGUGAAAAUACAUUUUAUGCUAAAUAUAACUUGAGGCCUUUUGGAACACCUCCUUGUUUAGUAAGGAAAAGAGGUAUACAAUGUGACAUUAUGAUAGGAAAUAUGAAAGACUCAGAUUACACUUUGUUUAGAUAUGGUAAAUUUUCAUGGAUUCAACAGAUAUGUUUUUGUCCUCAUAGGAAUUAUUGUUAUAGGAUUGCUUGUUUAUUUUUUUUUAUUUUUUUUCAGGUGUGCUAAAUGUGAAAUACAAUGACAGUUAGAUCUGAGGGAGACGACCCCCAAGGAAGAAAUAGUGUUAUCAGAUUGUCAGAUUAGCAAAUUUGUAUGAUACCAAGUUGGGUGAUAUGAAUGAGUAAAGAUAUGUAUCCACAUACACCCUAAGAAGAACUUUACUCCACAUAGAUGUGAAGUAGUACUGUGGACCCUUUGGUGUCAUACUAGAUGUUCACAGCUUCUUCGUUUUGUCCUUGGGAAUCAGACAGAAGACUGAUAAGACCAGUUGAAAAUAGACUUUCUAUUAAACCAGUUUGAACUGACCAAAGACUCAUGGAUAAGGUUUUUCUGCCAGUCACGUGAUGUAACCCCCCAUUUAACUGUUCCCAUGCUAUAAAGAAGAUAUGGACUUUGAUUGGACUAAAACUAUACGAUCACACCUUUAUCACGCCUAGAAUACAGUUGAUACAUACCCAUAUCUUAUGAAUAUUCAUACGUAUAAAUUGUUUUGCCCUGUAGUUGUAAGCUCAGAAACACUUUCACUUUUACUCGCUUAUAGUAGCCGAGAUCUGUGUUGUCUUUCUCCAUUGCAAUGUCUUAAUUAAAGCACCUACUUAUUAUCUUUAUCUACCAUCUAA